rnacentral:rRNA from 1 species
CACGUAGGGUGCAAGCGUUGUCCGGAUUCAUUGGGCGUAAAGGGCUAGUAGGCGGCUUAGCAAGUCGGGUGUGAAAACUUCAGGCUCAACCUGGAGCGGCCAUCCGAUACUGCUAUGGCUAGAGUCCGGUAGGGGACCACGGAAUUCCUGGUGUAGCGGUGAAAUGCGCAGAUAUCAGGAGGAACACCGGUGGCGAAGGCGGUUCUCUGGGCAUUACCUGACGCUGAGGAGCGAAAGCAUGGGGAGCGAACAGG